GACGAACGCUGGCGGCGUGCUUAACACAUGCAAGUCGAACGGUAAGGCCCUUCGGGGUACACGAGUGGCGAACGGGUGAGUAACACGUGGGUGAUCUGCCCUGCACUUCGGGAUAAGCCUGGGAAACUGGGUCUAAUACCGGAUAGGACCACUGCCUGCAUGGGUGGUGGUGGAAAGCUUUUGCGGUGUGGGAUGGGCCCGCGGCCUAUCAGCUUGUUGGUGGGGUGAUGGCCUACCAAGGCGACGACGGGUAGCCGGCCUGAGAGGGUGACCGGCCACACUGGGACUGAGAUACGGGCCAGACUCCUACGGGAGGCAGCAGUGGGGAAUAUUGCACAAUGGGCGCAAGCCUGAUGCAGCGACGCCGCGUGAGGGAUGACGGCCUUCGGGUUGUAAACCUCUUUCAGCACCGACGAAGCGCAAGUGACGGUAGGUGCAGAAGAAGGACCGGCCAACUACGUGCCAGCCGCCGCCUGUAA
rnacentral:rRNA from 1 species